CAUCUGGAACGUCUACUAAAAGGUCGUAUCCUCCGGUCGUAGCUGAUCGUAACCAUUCAAGUUAACGUGUCAAUUUACACCGACUUCUUUCCGUUCCUCUGCGGAUCACCGGACUCCUCAGCUGAUCACAAGAGUUCUAUUUUUUCUGGACGCCGGAGCAUGGCGGAUAAAUUCAGCACAGAUUAACCCGUGCUGGAAAGGAAGUCGGGCACA